GAGCUCUCAUGAAGCCAAAACCCUAACUUCAUCUAAUCCAUCAAAUUGGAAGGGUAAACGAAGCUAAUUCAGAACCGAACACGAAUUUGUGAUCACCUAUACGAGGGGAUCAUAAGGAGUUUUCACUAGCAUGGACCAAAGAAUGGAAGACUAACGGGUCAAGCGGAGGCGAGGAAGCAAUCAUGAACACUAAUGCUUAAGGUUGUACGAGUCCCGAAGGAUUACCGAGGCGUGGAGAUCGAAGACCGAGUCACAAGUUAGAUUGUACGGGAAUGCUUGGAUAGCUAAUUUAGUAAACACAGUUUAUGUUUUUAUUUUGUAAAUGGGUUCGAUUGUUGUAUUCAUUGUAAAUGUGUCACCUUAAGAAUGAACUUCAAGU